rnacentral:rRNA from 1 species
GACGGAGGGUGCAAACGUUGUUCGGAAUUACUGGGCGUAAAGCGUGUGUAGGCGGCUACAUAAGUCGGAUGUGAAAGCCCCGGGCUCAACCCGGGAAGUGCACUCGAUACUGCUCUGCUUGAGGACUGGAGAGGAGACUGGAAUUCACGGUGUAGCAGUGAAAUGCGUAGAUAUCGUGAGGAAGACCAGUGGCGAAGGCGGGUCUCUGGACAGUUCCUGACGCUGAGGCGCGAAGGCCAGGGGAGCAAACGGG